rnacentral:rRNA from 1 species
CGGGCGUUAAGUUGCAGGGUAUAGACCCGAAACCCGGUGAUCUAGCCAUGGGCAGGUUGAAGGUUGGGUAACACUAACUGGAGGACCGAACCGACUAAUGUUGAAAAAUUAGCGGAUGACCUGUGGCUGGGGGUGAAAGGCCAAUCAAACCGGGAGAUAGCUGGUUCUCCCCGAAAGCUAUUUAGGUAGCGCCUCGUGAAUUCAUCUCCGGGGGUAGAGCACUGUUUCGGCUAGGGGGCCAUCCCGGCUUACCAACCCGAUGCAAACUGCGAAUACCGGAGAAUGUUAUCACGGGAGACACACGGCGGGUGCUAACGUCCGUCGUGAAGAGGGAAACAACCCAGACCGCCAGCUAAGGUCCCAAAGUCAUGGUUAAGUGGGAAACGAUGUGGGAAGGCCCAGACAGCCAGGAUGUUGGCUUAGAAGCAGCCAUCAUUUAAAGAAAGCGUAAUAGCUCACUGGUCGAGUCGGCCUGCGCGGAAGAUGUAACGGGGCUAAACCAUGCACCGAAGCUGCGGCAGCGACGCUGAUGCGUUGUUGGGUAGGGGAGCGUUCUGUAAGCCUGCGAAGGUGGCCUGUGAGGGUUGCUGGAGGUAUCAGAAGUGCGAAUGCUGACAUAAGUAACGAUAAAGCGGGUGAAAAGCCCGCUCGCCGGAAGACCAAGGGUUCCUGUCCAACGUUAAUCGGGGCAGGGUGAGUCGACCCCUAAGGCGAGGCCGAAAGGCGUAGUCGAUGGGAAACGGGUUAAUAUUCCCGUACUUGGUGUUACUGCGAAGGGGGGACGGAGAAGGCUAUGUUGGCCGGGCGACGGUUGUCCCGGUUUAAGCGUGUAGGUGUGUGUUCCAGGUAAAUCCGGUUCACUUUAACACUGAGGCGUGAUGACGAGGCACUACGGUGCUGAAGCAACAAAUGCCCUGCUUCCAGGAAAAGCCUCUAAGCAUCAGGUAACAUCAAAUCGUACCCCAAACCGACACAGGUGGUCAGGUAGAGAAUACCAAGGCGCUUGAGAGAACUCGGGUGAAGGAACUAGGCAAAAUGGUGCCGUAACUUCGGGAGAAGGCACGCUGACACGUAGGUGAAGUGAUUUACUCAUGGAGCUGAAGUCAGUCGAAGAUACCAGCUGGCUGCAACUGUUUAUUAAAAACACAGCACUGUGCAAACACGAAAGUGGACGUAUACGGUGUGACGCCUGCCCGGUGCCGGAAGGUUAAUUGAUGGGGUCAGCGCAAGCGAAGCUCCUGAUCGAAGCCCCGGUAAACGGCGGCCGUAACUAUAACGGUCCUAAGGUAGCGAAAUUCCUUGUCGGGUAAGUUCCGACCUGCACGAAUGGCGUAAUGAUGGCCAGGCUGUCUCCACCCGAGACUCAGUGAAAUUGAACUCGCUGUGAAGAUGCAGUGUACCCGCGGCAAGACGGAAAGACCCCGUGAACCUUUACUAUAGCUUGACACUGAACAUUGAGCCUUGAUGUGUAGGAUAGGUGGGAGGCUUUGAAGUGUGGACGCCAGUCUGCAUGGAGCCGACCUUGAAAUACCACCCUUUAAUGUUUGAUGUUCUAACGUGGACCCGUGAUCCGGGUUGCGGACAGUGUCUGGUGGGUAGUUUGACUGGGGCGGUCUCCUCCUAAAGAGUAACGGAGGAGCACGAAGGUUGGCUAAUCCUGGUCGGACAUCAGGAGGUUAGUGCAAUGGCAUAAGCCAGCUUGACUGCGAGCGUGACGGCGCGAGCAGGUGCGAAAGCAGGUCAUAGUGAUCCGGUGGUUCUGAAUGGAAGGGCCAUCGCUCAACGGAUAAAAGGUACUCCGGGGAUAACAGGCUGAUACCGCCCAAGAGUUCAUAUCGACGGCGGUGUUUGGCACCUCGAUGUCGGCUCAUCACAUCCUGGGGCUGAAGUAGGUCCCAAGGGUAUGGCUGUUCGCCAUUUAAAGUGGUACGCGAGCUGGGUUUAGAACGUCGUGAGACAGUUCGGUCCCUAUCUGCCGUGGGCGCUGGAGAACUGAGGGGGGCUGCUCCUAGUACGAGAGGACCGGAGUGGACGCAUCACUGGUGUUCGGGUUGUCAUGCCAAUGGCACUGCCCGGUAGCUAAAUGCGGAAGAGAUAAGUGCUGAAAGCAUCUAAGCACGAAACUUGCCCCGAGAUGAGUUCUCCCUGAGACUUAAAGUCUCCUGAAGGAACGUUGAAGACGACGACGUUGAUAGGCCGGGUGUGUAAGCGCAGCGAUGCGUUGAGCUAACCGGUACUAAUGAACCGUGAGGCUUAACCUUACA